rnacentral:rRNA from 1 species
CCCCUAGAUGUUCUGGGCCGCACGCGCGCUACACUGAACAGUUCAACAAGUCUUAACCUUGGCCGAUAGGUCUGGGUAAUCUUUGAACGCUGUUCGUGAUUGGGAUAGACCUUUGCAAUUAUGGGUCUUCAACGAGGAAUUCCUCGUAAACGCAAGUCAUCAGCUUGCAUUGAUUACGUCCCUGCCCUUUGUACACACCGCCCGUCGCACCUACCGAUUGAAUGGUCCGGUGAAAUCUCGGGACGGCGGCUUGGUCGCUUGCGUCCGACUGCUGAAACUUGAUUAAACCAUAUCAUUUAGAGGAAGGUGAANUCGUAACA